GGAUGAACGCUAGCGGCAGGCCUAAUACAUGCAAGUCGAACGGUGAUAGCAAUAUCAUAGUGGCGCACGGGUGCGUAACACGUAUGCAACCUACCUAUUAUUGGGGGAUAGCCUUUGGAAACGGAGAUUAAUACCGCAUAAUACGAUUGACUGGCAUCGGUUGAUUGUUAAAGCUUAGGCGAUAAUAGAUGGGCAUGCGUCCAAUUAGUUAGUUGGUUAGGUAAUGGCUGACCAAGACGAUGAUUGGUAGGGGAUCUGAGAGGAUAAUCCCCCACACUGGCACUGAGAUACGGGCCAGACUCCUACGGGAGGCAGCAGUAGGGAAUAUUGGGCAAUGGGCGGAAGCCUGACCCAGCCAUGCCGCGUGCAGGAAGAAGGCGUUAUGCGUUGUAAACUGCUUUUUUAUAGGAAGAAGGAUCCCUUGCGAGGGAAGGUGACGGUACUAUAAGAAUAAGCACCGGUUAACUCCGUGCCAGCAGCCGCGGUAAUACGGAGGGUGCAAGCGUUGUCCGGAUUUAUUGGGUUUAAAGGGUGCGUAGGCGGUUUAUUAAGUCAGUGGUGAAAGACGGUCGCUCAACGAUUGCAGUGCCAUUGAUACUGGUAGACUUGAGU
rnacentral:rRNA from 1 species